rnacentral:rRNA from 1 species
UACGAAGGGGGCUAGCGUUGCUCGGAAUGACUGGGCGUAAAGGGCGCGUAGGCGGCCCGCUAAGUCGAACGUGAAAUCCCCAGGCUCAACCUGGGAACUGCGUCCGAUACUGGCAGGCUUGAAUCCGGGAGAGGGAUGUGGAAUUCCAGGUGUAGCGGUGAAAUGCGUAGAUAUCUGGAGGAACACCGGUGGCGAAGGCGGCAUCCUGGACCGGUAUUGACGCUGAGGCGCGAAAGCUAGGGGAGCAAACGGG